UGACGUCAAUACAUCAUGCCCCUUACUGACCUGGGCUACACACGUGCUACAAUGGUUGGUACAACGAGUUGCGAGUCGGUGACGGCGAGCUAAUCUCUUAAAGCCAAUCUCAGUUCGGAUUGUAGGCUGCAACUCGCCUACAUGAAGUCGGAAUCGCUAGUAAUCGCGGAUCAGCACGCCGCGGUGAAUACGUUCCCGGGCCUU
rnacentral:rRNA from 1 species